UAGGGAAUAUUGGGCCAUGGGCGGAAGCCUGAACCCAGCCACGCCGCGUGCAGGAAAGACGGCCCUCUGGGUUGUAAACUGCUUUUAACUGGGAAGAAAGCAGCUCAUGCGUGAGAAUUUGACGGUACCAGUUGAAUAAGCCACGGCUAACUACGUGC
rnacentral:rRNA from 1 species